CAUUUUAAUCUGAUGAUCCCAUAGUUCAACUGAAAAUAGCUAUUGUUGAUGUCUACAUUAAGCAAUGUCUUUCGCUCCUAUCUGAUUCAAUCU